CCCUUAGAUGUUCUGGGCCGCACGCGCGCUACACUGAUGCAUUCAACGAGCCUAGCCUUGACCGAGAGGUCCGGGUAAUCUUUGAAACUGCAUCGUGAUGGGGCUAGAUUAUUGCAAUUAUUAAUCUUCAACGAGGAAUGCCUAGUAAGCGUGAUUCAUCAAAUCGCGUUGAUUACGUCCCUGCCCUUUGUACACACCGCCCGUCGCUCCUACCGAUUGAGUGUGCUGGUGAGGAGUUUGGAUUGGCCUCGGAAGGUGGUUCGCCACCGUCCGUAGCUGAGAAGUUCUCCAAACCGCCCCACUUAGAGGAAGGAGAAGUCGUAACA
rnacentral:rRNA from 1 species